rnacentral:rRNA from 1 species
UACGGAAGGGGCAAGCGUUGUUCGGAAUCAUUGGGCGUAAAGGGCGCGUAGGUGGCGGGACAAGCGUGCGGUGAAAGCCUGGGGCUCAACCCCGGGUCGGCCGUGCGAACUGUUUUGCUUGAGCACUGUAGAGGCAGGCGGAAUUCCGGGUGUAGCGGUGGAAUGCGUAGAGAUCCGGAAGAACACCGGUGGCGAAGGCGGCCUGCUGGGCAGUAGCUGACACUGAGGCGCGACAGCGUGGGGAGCAAACAGG